rfam:Ixodes scapularis strain Wikel colony gcontig_1108379155650, whole genome shotgun sequence.
UUUUGGGAGGAUUGAUAGAUUGAGAGCACUUUCUUGAUUCGGUGGAUGGUGGUGCAUGUCCGUUCUUAGUUGGUGGAGUGACUUGUCUGGUAAAU